GACGAACGCUGGCGGCGUGCUUAACACAUGCAAGUCGAACGGAAAGGCCCCCACUUUUUUGGUGGGGGUGCUCGAGUGGCGAACAGGUGAGUAACACGUGGGUGAUCUGCCCUGUACUUCGGGAUAAGCUUGGGAAACUGGGUCUAAUACCGGAUAGGACCAUGGUUUAGUGUCUCAUGGUGGAAAAAUUAUUGUUUUGGUGCAGGAUGAGCUCGCGGCCUAUCAGCUUGUUGGUGGGGUAAUGGCCUACCAAGGCGUCGACGGGUAGCCGGCCUGAGAGGGUGGACGGCCACAUUGGGACUGAGAUACGGCCCAGACUCCUACGGGAGGCAGCAGUGGGGAAUAUUGCACAAUGGGCGCAAGCCUGAUGCAGCGACGCCGCGUGGGGGAUGACGGCCUUCGGGUUGUAAACUCCUUUCGUUAGGGACGAAGCCGCACCUUUUUUGGGUGUGGUGACGGUACCUUUGUUAAGAAGCACCGGCUAACUACGUG
rnacentral:rRNA from 1 species